ACACGACUACAUUAGAUACCCGGGUAGUCCCAGCCCUAAACGAUGCGCGUUAGGUGUAUCGGUGACCACGAGUCACCGGGGUGCCGAAGGGAACCGUGAAACGUGCCGCCUGGGAAGUACGGUCGCAAGGCUGAAACUUAAGGAAUUGCGGGGGAGCACCACAACGGGUGGAGCCUGCGGUUUAAUUGGACUCAACGCCGGGAAGCUCACCGGAUAAGACAGCGGAAUGAUUGCCGGGCUGAAGACCCUGCAUGACCAGCUG
rnacentral:rRNA from 1 species